GACGUAGGAGGCGAGCGUUAUCCGGAUUCACUGGGCGUAAAGCGCAUGUAGGCGGUUGCACAAGUCCGUUGUUAAAGCCCCUGGCUCAACUGGGGGAGGUCAAUGGAGACUGUGCGACUUGAGGGCAAUAGAGGCACGUGGAACUCCCGGUGUAGCGGUGGAAUGCGUAGAGAUCGGGAAGAACACCAGUGGCGAAGGCGGCUCACUGGACCGGUUCUGACGCUGAGGCGCGAAAGCGUGGGGAGCAAACGGGG
rnacentral:rRNA from 1 species